GAGUUCAUAGAUUUUUAAAAGCAUAACUUCUUCGAAAAAAAAUUCUUUUAAUGAAAUGAUAAAUGAUCACUGUCAUAUAAUUUCUCAUGUAGGAUGCUGAUAAUAUUUCUGAAGCCUGGGAUAGAGGUGGUCAUCUUGCAUCAUUUAAAAAUAGAGCUUGCCUAGGCAGUUUUCAACUUACAAGAAAAAAAUGGGGACUGGGAAUCAGUUUAUUGAAAUUAAAACAAUUAAACUUUUGUUUCUGUGCUCUCAUUGGUCUGAGUCACGUGGGGAAAAAGCUAGCAAAAACAACAUUUUUUUCGUGGAAAAUCAGAUCAAAACAUACGAGUGGCUAGAAGAGAAAAGAAGUUGCUUUGUGGCGUGCUAUUAAUUACACUUUUUUAAAUGUUUUUACUGCACGUCUAUGUUAUAAAGUUUCAUUAUAGCUGCCCUUUUAUAAAAUUAAAGAACCAUGGGCUUUUCUUACAAGAAUGAUUCUUCGGCCGCGACAAAUGAUAACCGAGUUCGCCCUGAAGUAAAUGAAAUACCCAGUUCCAGUCAAAAUAUAAAUAACGAUUUACUGUCGAGGAGACAGUUAAACAGUAUUGCUCAAGAUAAUAACAACAAUUCUGGAAUUCGUCAAAUGGGAUUCAUGUUAAGGACAAUGGGAGACCUGUUAAAUCUGGCUUCUCAAAUUCAACGUAGUAGAAACACCUCUGGACAAAGACAUCAAGGAAACGGUGGAUAAAAAAACAGAACAAUUUUUAUUUAUUUUCAAAUCUUUCCUUCCUUUUUCAUACAGAAUCUUGAAGUUUCUUUGGGCAUGCCUAGAUUUGCUCAAAACAAUUUCCCGUAGUAUUAUACAGAAUGUUUGUCGUUCCUUUUUUUAUGACAAGUUUUUCUAAAACUUUCAGCUAAUGAUGGCCAUAGUUCUUAUAUUUAAGCUGGACUUAUUUAUUUGACAGGUCAUUGCUUUCUUUUUACUCAACUUCUCUGUUUGUUUAAAGUGUUCAUAUUGUGUAUAAAUUAAUUUCUUUCCCAUGGAAAGCCUUGAAAUUGUAUUUUAAAUAAAGGUACAAUAUUGGUAAUUUUGAACAAUGCAAAGGAAUGUUAAAAGAUACCCUAAAUUAUUUGUAUAUAGAGCUGAGCUGUAGUAAGAUAAUUAAAUGUACAUAUUUAUAUUUAAAAUUGAGUUAGGAUAUUAUUUUGUAGUAUUUUUGAAUAUUUUUAUUUCAAAAUAAGAAAUGCUACAUAUUUGAA